AACGAACGCUGGCGGCAUGCCUAACACAUGCAAGUCGAACGAGACCUUCGGGUCUAGUGGCGCACGGGUGCGUAACGCGUGGGAACCUGCCCUUAGGUUCGGAAUAACUCCCCGAAAGGGGUGCUAAUACCGGAUAAUGUCUUCGGACCAAAGAUUUAUCGACUUUGGAUGGGCCCGCGUUGGAUUAGCUAGUUGGUAGGGUAAAAGCCUACCAAGGCGACGAUCCAUAGCUGGUCUGAGAGGAUGAUCAGCCACACUGGGACUGAGACACGGCCCAGACUCCUACGGGAGGCAGCAGUGGGGAAUAGUGGACAAUGGGCGAAAGCCUGAUCCAGCAAUGCCGCGUGAGUGAUGAAGGCCUUAGGGUUGUAAAGCUCUUUUACCCGGGAUGAUAAUGACAGUACCGGGAGAAUAAGCUCCGGCUAACUCCGUG
rnacentral:rRNA from 1 species